rnacentral:lncRNA from 10 species
CACUUGCAGUUAAUUUUGUGCUGGCUUUAUCUGGGUCUGCCCUUCUGUUGUGAUUAAUGAUAGUCAAAUUGUCAAACUGCUUUUAUUGAAAAUAUGAUUCCUUUUUUUCUGGAUUCCAAUGGCUCUUUUUGGCACAAAUCAGAACUGAAAUUAAGAUGUCAUGCUGGAGAUCCACCGUCAACUAUGUUCAAGAAAAAUCUCUAUGAGAUGAUGGAGUCACAAGUAAAAAAUAAUGCCAGGAUCCAUGGAUGACUUCAUGGAACAGAAAAGUCUUCGUUCCUCAAACUAGCCAUUGAUAUUGUGAAAGUUUUCCAGAAAAGAUUAAUCUCUAUCUUGUUUGAACCCAGUGAAUAACUUUGUUACAACACCAUACCUUAACUAAUAAUCAGAAUGGAGUUACUGAAGUGAACUAAAAGAUUUUGGCACACAUUUUGUUGCCGUGGCAAUCACUUUCACUGAGGUAACAAGGGUGGCAGAUAACAUAACUACAAAGCCUGCAUACA